AAAAUUUGAUGACAUGUGGGGAAUUAGUUAGUUUUAACUCAUAAAUCCUCAAAUCUCUCACUAGUCUCAAGACAUUCAUAUGAAGUGUUUUGAUUAGGGAUGUUUCAUUCUCCUUGAUCCAGGCACCCUAGGUCGAGAUUGGGGAUAAUGGUCCCAACCUCGAACCACUCUCCUCCCCCUCCCACAACCUCAACUAUAGCUGCUACAGAUAAGGUAAAGUGAUAACAAGAAGAAAGAUAAAGAUUCUCAUUUGCCUACCAACAACGAGAAGAGGCUGAUGACGGUGGCCAGGAAGGCCAUUCAAUCAAUGUUAUAUAAAUUUCUUGUAUUAUGGUUGAUCGUGUUUUAAUAUUCUUGACUUCAUAAUAAACCGUUGAUCUAUA
rnacentral:lncRNA from 1 species